rnacentral:rRNA from 1 species
CGUACCUUUUGCUACGGAAUAACUCAGGGAAACUUGUGCUAAUACCGUAUGUGCCCUUCGGGGGAAAGAUUUAUCGGCAAAGGAUCGGCCCGCGUUGGAUUAGCUAGUUGGUGAGGUAAAGGCUCACCACGGCUACGAUCCAUAGCUGGUCUGAGAGGAUGAUCAGCCACACUGGGACUGAGACACGGCCCAGACUCCUACGGGAGGCAGCAGUGGGGAAUAUUGGACAAUGGGCGCAAGCCUGAUCCGGCCAUGCCGCGUGAGUGAUGAAGGCCCUAGGGUUGUAAAGCUCUUUCACCGGUGAAGAUAAUGACGGUAACCGGAGAAGAAGCCCCGGCUAACUUCGUGCCAGCAGCCGCGGUAAUACGAAGGGGGCUAGCGUUGUUCGGAUUUACUGGGCGUAAAGCGCACGUAGGCGGACUUUUAAGUCAGGGGUGAAAUCCCGGGGCUCAACCCCGGAACUGCCUUUGAUACUGGAAGUCUUGAGUAUGGUAGAGGUGAGUGGAAUUCC